rnacentral:rRNA from 1 species
UACCAGCACCCCGAGUGGUCGGGACGAUUAUUGGGCCUAAAGCAUCCGUAGCCGGCCUUACAAGUCCUCCGUUAAAUCCAGCUGCUUAACAGAUGGCUGCGGAGGAUACUAUAAGACUAGGAGGCAGGAGAGGCAAGCGGUACUCAGUGGGUAGGGGUAAAAUCCGUUGACCCAUUGAAGACCACCAGUGGCGAAGGCGGCUUGCCAGAAUGCGCUCGACGGUGAGGGAUGAAAGCUGGGGGAGCAAACCGG